UACGUAGGUGGCAAGCGUUGUCCGGAAUUAUUGGGCGUAAAGCGCGCGCAGGCGGUCCUUUAAGUCUGAUGUGAAAGCCCACGGCUCAACCGUGGAGGGUCAUUGGAAACUGGGGACUUGAGUACAGAAGAGGAAAGCGGAAUUCCACGUGUAGCGGUGAAAUGCGUAGAGAUGUGGAGGAACACCAGUGGCGAAGGCGGCUUUCUGGUCUGUAACUGACGCUGAGGUGCGAAAGCGUGGGGAGCAAACAGG
rnacentral:rRNA from 1 species